rnacentral:rRNA from 1 species
GACGAACGCUGGCGGCGUGCUUAACACAUGCAAGUCGAACGAUGAAGCUAGAGCUUGCUCUGGUGAAUUAGUGGCGAACGGGUGAGUAACACGUGAGUAACCUGCCCCGAACUCUGGGAUAACUGCUGGAAACGGUAGCUAAUACUGGAUACGACCUACGAAGGCAUCUUCUGUAGAUGGAAAGAAUUUCGGUUCGGGCCGGACUCACGGCCUAUCAGCCUGUUGGUGAGGUAAUGGCUCACCAAGGCGCCGACGGGUAGCCGGCCGGAAAGGCUGACCGGCCACACUUGGACUGAUACACGGCCCAGACUCCAACAGGACGCAGCAGUGGGGAAUAUUGCACAAUGGGCGCAAGCCUGAUGCAGCAACGCCGCGUGAGGGAUGACGGCCUUCGGGUUGUAAACCUCUUUUAGUAGGGAAGAAGCGAAAGUGACGGUACCUGCAGAAAAAGCACCGGCUAACUACGUGCCAGCCGCCGCAGUAA